rnacentral:rRNA from 1 species
AUUGAACGCUGGCGGCAGGCUUAACACAUGCAAGUCGAGCGGGGGAAGGUCGCUUGCUACCGGACCUAGCGGCGGACGGGUGCGUAAUGCUUAGGAAUCUGCCUAUUAGUGGGGGACAACAUCUCGAAAGGGAUGCUAAUACCGCAUACGUCCUAUGGGAGAAAGCAGGGGAUCUUCGGACCUUGCGCUAAUAGAUGAGCCUAAGUCGGAGUAGCUAGUUGGUGGGGUCAAGGCCUACCAAGGCGACGAUCUGAAGCGGGUCUGAGAGGAUGAUCCGCCACACUGGGACUGAGACACGGCCCAGACUCCUACGGGAGGCAGCAGUGGGGAAUAUUGGACAAUGGGGGGAACCCUGAUCCAGCCAUGCCGCGUGUGUGAAGAAGGCCUUAUGGUUGUAAAGCACUUUAAGCGAGGAGGAGGCUACUUUAGUUAAUACCUAGAGAUAGUGGACGUUACUCGCAGAAUAAGCACCGGCUAACUCUGUGCCAGCCGCCGCGGUAA